UAACGGGUCGAAAGACUCGCUAAUACCGAAUAUGACGAAAGUUGAAAGGAGUAAUCCGUCUAAAGAUGAGCCCGCGUCCGAUUAGCUAGUUGGUAGAGUAAAAGCCUACCAAGGCGACGAUCGGUAGCUGGUCUGAGAGGAUGAUCAGCCACAAUGGGACUGAGACACGGCCCAUACUCCUACGGGGAGGCAGCAGUGGGGUAAUUUUACGCAAGUGGGACGAAAGCCUGACGUAGCGACACCGCGUGAGCGAAGAACGCCCCGUUGGGGUGUAAGGCUCUGUCAGCUGGAACGAAAAAAUGACGGUACCAGCAGAGGAAGCAUCGGCUAACUACGUG
rnacentral:rRNA from 1 species